UGAGGAAUAUUGGUCAAUGGGCGCAGGCCUGAACCAGCCAAGUAGCGUGAAGGAUGACUGCCCUAUGGGUUGUAAACUUCUUUUAUAUGGGAAUAAAGUUUUCCACGUGUGGAAUUUUGUAUGUACCAUAUGAAUAAGGAUCGGCUAACUCCGUGCCAGCAGCCGCGGUAAUACGGAGGAUCCGAGCGUUAUCCGGAUUUAUUGGGUUUAAAGGGAGCGUAGGUGGACAGUUAAGUCAGUUGUGAAAGUUUGCGGCUCAACCGUAAAAUUGCAGUUGAUACUGGCUGUCUUAAGUACAGUAGAGGUGGGCGGAAUUCGUGGUGUAGCGGUGAAAUGCUUAGAUAUCACGAAGAACUCCGAUUGCGAAGGCAGCUCACUGGACUGCAACUGACACUGAUGCUCGAAAGUGUGGGUAUCAAACAGG
rnacentral:rRNA from 1 species